GCCGCGUGUGUGAAGAAGGCCUUUUGGUUGUAAAGCACUUUAAGCGAGGAGGAGGCUACCUACAUUAAUACUUUNGGAUGGUGGACGUUACUCGCAGAAUAASCACCGGCUAACUCUGUGCCAGCAGCCGCGGUAAUACAGAGGGUGCGAGCGUUAAUCGGAUUUACUGGGCGUAAAGCGUGCGUAGGCGGCCAAUUAAGUCAAAUGUGAAAUCCCCGAGCUUAACUUGGGAAUUGCAUUCGAUACUGGUUGGCUAGAGUAUGGGAGAGGAUGGUAGAAUUCCAGGUGUAGCGGUGAAAUGCGUAGAGAUCUGGAGGAAUACCGAUGGCGAAGGCAGCCAUCUGGCCUAAUACUGACGCUGAGGUACGAAAGCAUGGGGAGCAAACAGGAUUAGAUACCCUGGUAGUCCAUGCCGUAAACGAUGUCUACUAGCCGUUGGGGCCCUUGAGGCUUUAGUGGCGCAGCUAACGCGAUAAGUAGACCGCCUGGGGAGUACGGUCGCAAGACUAAAACUCAAAUGAAUUGACGGGGGCCCGCACAAGCGGUGGAGCAUGUGGUUUAAUUCGAUGCAACGCGAAGAACCUUACCUGGCCUUGACAUACAGAGAACUUUCCAGAGAUGGAUUGGUGCCUUCGGGAACUCUGAUACAGGUGCUGCAUGGCUGUCGUCAGCUCGUGUCGUGAGAUGUUGGGUUAAGUCCCGCAACGAGCGCAACCCUUUUCCUUAUUUGCCAGCACUUCGGGUGGGAACUUUAAGGAUACUGCCAGUGACAAACUGGAGGAAGGCGGGGACGACGUCAAGUCAUCAUGGCCCUUACGGCCAGGGCUACACACGUGCUACAAUGGUCGGUACAAAGGGUUGCUACACAGCGAUGUGAUGCUAAUCUCAAAAAGCCGAUCGUAGUCCGGAUUGGAGUCUGCAACUCGACUCCAUGAAGUCGGAAUCGCUAGUACUCGCGGAUCAGAAUGCCGCGGUGAAUACGUUCCCGGGCCUUGUACACACCGCCCGUCACACCAUGGGAGUUUGUUGCACCAGAAGUAGGUAGUCUAACCGCAAGGAGGACGCUA
rnacentral:rRNA from 1 species